rnacentral:misc_RNA from 1 species
CCAUUAUGUAGAUACUCCAAUCCUUGUGCUGCAUCUGUUGCAAUAUGUAAUCUCUCAUCCCAAUUCAAAAUACUUCCACUUGUCCCUGCAAUCAAAAUAUAUAUGUCCCUGCAAUCAAAAUAUCUCUCAUCCCCAAUCUUUUGUUUUAGUUGCUGUUUUUGGGGAAAUGAAUGCAUACAAUAUAUAUGUUCUGAAUUGUAUAAAGUAAUUUUUAGAGUAUUUAAUGAAGUAUGGAAUAAGAUUAGAGAGAGGUACUUUUACCAAUGCUCCUUCAUUGAAAAUGUCAGUUUCAAGUUAGAGCAGCAUAUAUAGACAAAUAAAUCAUGUGAUUAAGAGUUUUUAUAUCAGUUACCUGCUAAAUGCUCACACAAAUUUCUGUUAACCAUGUACUCAUAAAUCAGU